rnacentral:misc_RNA from 1 species
GUUAAUUAAAAUUAAAAAUAAUUAGAUAUAAAUAUAAUUUAUCUAUCACGAAUUGGAUUAGCGAAUUGCGAAUCUAAUUAACGUAUCACAAACCAAAUUGACGUACCAAUUAAGUCUACUAUUUGUGUAUCCUAUAUUUCAUUAACGCAGUACUUUUGAGUUGUGGUACGGGUAUGUAAUAUGCAAUACUUUACAUAAUGAAGCAUAAGAUACAUAAGGGAUAGACUUAAUUGGUAUGUCAAUUUGGCUUGUGGUACGUUAAUUCGAUUCACAAUACGCCAAUACAAUUUGUG